CUCUUGCGCUGGGUUUGAUCAUCGCAUGGUAUGGACUGCCACAACUAACGCCAGCACUUGGGUGGCUAGAGCAUUGAACUAGUCCUGGUUCUCUUUGGGAGCCGACAGAGGAGGUUGUAGGGAUGCCUCCAAUAGCUAGUACAGAGCAUGAUUUCUGACUGAAGCUUCUGUCACCUGGCAUGCCGUAGCAUUAGGGACGUCUCAAAGAUGCUC
rnacentral:lncRNA from 1 species